CAGAGGACCGGUCAAUGUUGGUCCCAGUCUCCCAAAUUGCUGCGGACAAGCUCAGCCCUGGGGCACCAACAGAGCAGAGGAGAGGGUGCCUGAGUCUGCCUGGGCUUGCAGAACACCAAGGAGAGCAGGGAGCCGCGUGCUGAGCCUGGCACUCAGAGGACUCUUCCCUGCCACCGGGGGCAGUCAGAGGCAACGUGCCCGGCUGUCUCCGUCCAGAGCCUCCAGGUGCCGUCUUCACUCUGUUGCCUGCUUUCUUGGUCACCCCAUUAUGUUGUUAACAUUGCUCUCCACCAACAUAGAAAAUGGCCGUCCUCGUCAAAGCCAAGUCCAAACUCAGCCCAUGCUCCUGGACUCCCUCGCGUCUGUGGCUGUUGACCACCCUCGCCUCUGAUGGCCCUACGUCACCCUUUCCUCGUUCUUCUAAAAGACAGGGAAGGAAAGUGGCUGGCCGGGACCACCGGAGCAAGACUACUUGGUUGAAAAAAAAAUGGGUCACUGAACAAUUAAUUGUCAUAUAGAGAAAUGUCUAAUGUAUCUAUCUGGUGAGGUUUAUUUCUGAACAGAGGGCACCCAGUAUAAUAAUGUAAUUGAAUAGCAUCUUCUCCCCAAAACCACUGGGUUUAGCGAUUGUUCAUUCACAGGCUCAUCUGCUCUGAUGUCUUCUAGGGCUGGAAUCUGGCCUGAUCCAGGGAUGACAGUUAACCUCCACGGUAACAAGGAACAAACUCGACUCACCCUCUGUGCAUCGCUCAGAGGAACAAGACACAACGCUCACCGGGAGUGUCAACUAAGGGCUUAGAUGCUUGUUGAGUUUUUUCCAUUUAAUAUAAGUGAGGAUAUUUUUUAAUCUUCUGCAGAUUUAAACAAUGGACAAUGCAGAGGAAUCUUUAUAAAGAUGAUUUAUUAAAUACAAAGUUGCAAAAAAAAGAGGUCACAGCUGAGCUGAGAAUUCUUGAAAAUCUAUUGCCAACGCCAGUCAUGCUGAUUAUUGGAGCAGGAAAUGGUACUUUAAAACUUGGUGGUCAAGGGAAAGCGUUAGUGUUCUGACUUUACCUUCAAGAAGAGCAGCUUUGGCCAUUUCAAGUGCAUCGCCAACCCAGAGAAGGUCAUCUUGGCAUGGUCUUCCUGACUUGUUCUGGUCGUUUUGGGGACUGAGUGGUCGGGGGCCGUUUGUUCUUGUGGCAUAGGGUUAACCCCUCCUUGGGAGCGAAGCCGUUUACUGAGGCCUGUUCACAGGUGGCCUGCCGCAGGGCUGGGUUGGUACAGGCCCUCCUGACUCACCCCGUGCCAACAUUUUCUGCCUACAUAAUUUUAUGUAAAUAAUUUGGCCCUGUCCACAAUCUGUUUCUGCCAAAGGACAGGGAUGCUUUCCUGAGGACAGCGGCCACCUGCAUUCACUCUGUCCACCUGGGAAGGUGUCCCUCAGCCGCCACAAGGAAUCAAGGAUCACUAUUGACUUUCCUUCAAAGCCAAGAAGAGGGACAAGUCCUCCUGCCUCCAGGCUGUUCAGGAAAUGUCAGGAUCACACAUGCUGACUUGAGGGCAGAGGCCCAGGUCGCAAGAUGUACCUGGGUGGGGUUGCCCCACCUGCUGAGAACCAUUAUCAGCACCUUGGUUUGCAGAGCUGAUUAAGAACAAGCCAGAAGGAGGGCUUGGCCACAGCCCUCUGAGAGCAGAAGGGCAAUCCACGGAUGAGGUGGCAACUCUCACUGCCAAGGACUCAUGACGUGUCUAUAAGUAUACAGUGAUCUUAGAGUGGCUUAGCAGAGCAGGGAGGCAAGAUGUGAGGUCAGGGUGGCGACAGCUGUCAGAGCCAGACUCAGCCUCUUACAGGUGUGUGCCAUAGGUCCUGGCUCGACUUGUGGUAAGGUCAGGAUGUGGUGGCGUGUGCCCGGCACUGUCCUGGCCUGCACACUCACAGGCCUCUGCUGCUGCAGGUCCUGGGUGACAGUGAGCAGAGGUGUCAUUUCUGCCCAGGGACCAGGGGGAAGCACAGCAGCCUCUGCUACUGUGUUUCCAAAAAGUUCCACUUUUGGAGUGUUCUCCUAAAGAAUAAAAAGGCGUCUGAAUGCA